GGAGAGAUGGUCGAGUGGUUGAAGGCACCAGUCUUGAAAAUUGGCAUAGGGUAACUCCCUAUCGUGGGUUCGAAUCCCACUCUCUCCGCCA
rnacentral:tRNA from 1 species